AUCACGAGGGCGGGCUUGAGGCGAAAAGAAGGCUCGUGAUUGGUUGCAGUCCGGCGUGAUGUGACGUCAUGGUGGCAGCUCGCGUGAAGCCCCGAAACGUGGGCACGGCGGCGAGCAGGGGCGGGUGUUCGCGUGUACCGCCAGUGAUCUAUUUUUAUCUUUUUUUGAGUGUCGCUUGACGUGCGGAAUCCUUGGCCUCAUCGUCGUGACUACCAAGGCGUCGGCGUGGCUAGGUGGUGACCAAGUGACAGCUACCCGAGGCCUGCCGUCAGCCCCGUCCGCCACCCAACAUGUACCGCCCCGCCCCAGCUCGCCUCCAGCGCCCAAGCUGGGUGUGAAUGCAGCGAGAAGUGUUCUCAGAUAAGGUGUGUUUAUGCUAUUAGCGGGGGGCUGCUGGCACAUAAAUCCCGCCCUAAAAGGCGGGGCGCCGUUGAGACGAGUGUGGGAAUUCGCGCGGAGUUGCUGGUCAUGCUGGCACGGAGCGGCGGCGCGACCUGUACACGCAGUCAGAAAUGUGUUACUGUGGCUUGCAUCUUGGGUUACGUCUUAGAGGAAGG